UGCAGUCGAACGGUGAAAGAGAGCUUGCUCUCUGGAUCAGUGGCGAACGGGUGCAGUAACACGUGAGCAAUCUGCCCCUGACUCUGGGAUAAGCGCUGGAAACGGCGUCUAAUACCGGAUACGAGCUGCGAAGGCAUCUUCAGCAGCUGGAAAGAACUUCGGUCAGGGAUGAGCUCGCGGCCUAUCAGCUAGUUGGUGAGGUAAUGGCUCACCAAGGCGUCGACGGGUAGCCGGCCUGAGAGGGUGACCGGCCACACUGGGACUGAGACACGGCCCAGACUCCUACGGGAGGCAGCAGUGGGGAAUAUUGCACAAUGGGCGCAAGCCUGAUGCAGCAACGCCGCGUGAGGGACGACGGCCUUCGGGUUGUAAACCUCUUUUAGCAGGGAAGAAGCGAAAGUGACGGUACCUGCAGAAAAAGCACCGGCUAACUACGUGCCAGCAGCCGCGGUAAUACGUAGGGUGCAAGCGUUAUCCGGAAUUAUUGGGCGUAAAGAGCUCGUAGGCGGUUUGUCGCGUCUGCUGUGAAAACUGGGGGCUCAACCCCCAGCCUGCAGUGGGUACGGGCAGACUAGAGUGCGGUAGGGGAGAUUGGAAUUCCUGGUGUAGCGGUGGAAUGCGCAGAUAUCAGGAGGAACACCGAUGGCGAAGGCAGAUCUCUGGGCCGUAACUGACGCUGAGGAGCGAAAGGGUGGGGAGCAAACAGGCUUAGAUACCCUGGUAGUCCACCCCGUAAACGUUGGGAACUAGUUGUGGGGUCCAUUCCACGGAUUCCGUGACGCAGCUAACGCAUUAAGUUCCCCGCCUGGGGAGUACGGCCGCAAGGCUAAAACUCAAAGGAAUUGACGGGGACCCGCACAAGCGGCGGAGCAUGCGGAUUAAUUCGAUGCAACGCGAAGAACCUUACCAAGGCUUGACAUAUACGAGAACGGGCCAGAAAUGGUCAACUCUUUGGACACUCGUAAACAGGUGGUGCAUGGUUGUCGUCAGCUCGUGUCGUGAGAUGUUGGGUUAAGUCCCGCAACGAGCGCAACCCUCGUUCUAUG
rnacentral:rRNA from 1 species